UUUCCUUUACAGAUUUGUUUACAUUCAAGUCCGCCGCACAUUAAGUAUUAUUUUUCAAUCGGUGGGGAUGGCGUCGGAAGCGGCAGAUGACUCGGAACGUGCUGCAGGAACUCUCGGGUCUGGGAGGGGACAGUGUAAGUCUUGCUACACGACAGGCCCUCGAAGCACUUGUGGUGCAGAAAGUAGCUGUGGAGUACAGCUGGGUUAGACGGAAAGGAAAGCGCCAGUUCACUUCGCUUGCAGUCUGCAAGCUGAUAUGCACAGAAAAUCUUAAGGAGUUCCAG